rnacentral:rRNA from 1 species
UCCAGACUCCUACGGGAGGCAGCAGUGAGGAAUAUUGAUCAAUGGGCGGGAGCCUGAACCAGCCAAGUCGCGUGAGGGAAGACGGUCCUACGGAUUGUAAACCUCUUUUGCCGGGGAGCAACGGGGUCCUUGCGAGGGCCCGAUGAGAGUACCCGGAGAAAAAGCAUCGGCUAACUCCGUGCCAGCAGCCGCGGUAAUACGGAGGAUGCGAGCGUUAUCCGGAUUUAUUGGGUUUAAAGGGUGCGUAGGCGGGCUGUUAAGUCGGCGGUCAAAGGGCGGGGCUCAACCCCGGCCUGCCGUUGAAACUGGCGGCCUCGAGUGGGCGAGAAGUAUGCGGAAUGCGCGGUGUAGCGGUGAAAUGCAUAGAUAUCGCGCAGAACUCCGAUUGCGAAGGCAGCAUGCCGGCUCCACACUGACGCUGAGGCACGAAAGCGUGGGUAUCGAACAGGAUUAGAUACCCUAA